AUAAAAUUGUGCCCUAAACAGAAAUAUUUUACUCUUUGGUUUUUUUGGUAUUUCUCAUUCUUGAUUUAGUUUCUUUUCCAUUCUUCAAAACAGAAAUGAAACAAUACUUCUUUCAUUUCUUAUUUCAGGAUUGUUACGGUAUUCUCUGACUUUUAAUGGAGCACGUGUAGCCUCACAGUCUGACAAAUCUGGCAAGAUUUCUUAAAAGAAACAGAAGUAACACUCUUUGACCAACAGGUGUUUUGUUAUUCUCACAGGUCCAAUCAAAUGAGAGAUAAGCUGUCUUUGCUUUAUUCACUGAUGUAUCCUAGUGCCUGAUACAUAGUAACCAUCAACAAUUAUUUAUUGAACUCACUGGUACAGUAUGACUUUUAUUCGUGUGUCAGGUAAACACUACUGAAGCAAAGACAUGGCAGAAAGAAUCUGGAUUUUUGUGCACUGGGGCUAGUUCUCACUUGAAGCUUGACCUAACUUGGAAAUUUUACGUACCUGAACUGAAAAAUUUCCUCUUUUCUCACUAUGAGGUAAGUUUGCUAUUUGCUAUAAUAUAAAUAUCCUGAUACAAUGAUAAUUCCUCACAGCAUAAAAAGAGAUAAUUUUCCCCAAAUCUACUCAGUAUUGGUUGUCAUUAUAUAUUGGCUGAUUUCAUAGGAAGCACAUUAUAUUUCACAAUGUUUUGUG
rnacentral:lncRNA from 1 species